rnacentral:rRNA from 1 species
ACGCACGCUGGCGGCGUGCCUAAUACAUGCCAGUAGAACGCUGAAGGAGGAGCUUGCUCUUCUGGAUGAGUUGCGAACGGGUGAGUAACGCGUAGGUAACCUGCCUGGUAGCGGGGGAUAACUAUUGGAAACGAUAGCUAAUACCGCAUAACAGUAGAUGUUGCAUGACAUUUACUUAAAAGGUGCAAUUGCAUCACUACCAGAUGGACCUGCGUUGUAUUAGCUAGUUGGUGGGGUAACGGCUCACCAAGGCGACGAUACAUAGCCGACCUGAGAGGGUGAUCGGCCACACUGGGACUGAGACACGGCCCAGACUCCUACGGGAGGCAGCAGUAGGGAAUCUUCGGCAAUGGACGGAAGUCUGACCGAGCAACGCCGCGUGAGUGAAGAAGGUUUUCGGAUCGUAAAGCUCGGUUGUAAGAGAAGAACGAGUGUGAGAGUGGAAAGUUCACACUGUGACGGUAGCUGACCAGAAAGGGACGGCUAACUACGUG